rnacentral:rRNA from 1 species
CACGUAGGAGGCAAGCGUUAUUCGGAUUUACUGGGCGUAAAGCGCACGCAGGCGGUUCGAUAAGUUGGAUGUGAAAGCUCCUGGCUUAACUGGGAGAGGUCGUUCAAUACUAUCGGACUUGAGGAUGAGAGAGGGAGGUGGAAUUCCGGGUGUAGUGGUGGAAUGCGUAGAUAUUCGGAGGAACACCAGUGGCGAAAGCGGCCUCCUGGCUCAUAACUGACGCUCAUGUGCGAAAGCUAGGGUAG